GUUUCUGAGCCCUUAAAUGGUCUCUCAGUCUGGUUCAGUAGGAAUCACAAUCAAGGGGAAGACUGCUGACCUGACAGUUGUGCAGAAAACCAUAAUUGACACCCUCCAUAAGGAGGGAAAGCCUCAAAAGGUAAUUGCGAAGGAAGUUGGAUGUUCCCAAAGUGCUGUAUCAAAGCACAUUAAUAGAAAGUUAUGUGGAAGGGAAAAUUGUGGAAGAAAAAGGGGCACAAGCAGCAGGGAUGACCGCAGCCUGGAGAAGAUAAUCAGGAAAAGGCCAUUCAAAUGUGUUGGGGACUUCCACAAGGAGUGGACUGAGGCUGGAGUCAGUGCAUCAAGAGCCACCACACACAGACGGAUCCUGGACAUGGGCUUCAGAUGUCGUAUUCCUCUUGUCAAGCCGCUCCUGAACAACAAACAACGUCAGAAGCAUCUUACCUGGGCUAAAGAAAAACAGACCUGUUCUGCUCAGUGGUCCAAAGUCCUCUUUUCUGAUGAGAGCAACUUUUGCAUCUCAUUUGGAAACCAAGGACACAGAGUCUGGAGGAAGAAUGGAGAGGCACACACUGCAAGAUGCUUGAAGUCCAGUGUGAAGUUUCCACAGCCAUGUCAUCUGCUGGUGUUGGUCCACUGUGCUUCAUUAAGUCCAGGAUCAACGCAGCCGUCUACCAGGAGAUUUUGGAGCACUUCAUGCUUUCUUCCACAGACGAGCUUUUGGGGAUGCUGACUUCAUUUUCCAGCAGGACUUGGCACCUGCCCACACUGCCAAAAGCACCAAAGCCUGGUUCAAUAACUGUGGGAUUACUGUGCAUGAUUGGCCAGCAAACUCACCUGACCUGAACCCCAUAGAGAAUAUAUGGGGCAUUGCCAAGAGAAAGAUGAGAGACAUGAGAUCAAACAAUACAGAAGAGCUGAAAGCCGCUUUUGAAGCAUCCUGGUCUUCCAUAACACCUUAGCAGUGCCACAGGCUGAUAGCUUCCAUGCCACGCCGCAUUGAGGCAGUAAUUGCUGCAAAAGGGGCCCAAACCAAGUACUGAGUCCAUAUGCAUGCUUAUACUUUUCAGAGGUCCGAUAUUGUUCUAUGUACACUCCUUGUUUUAUUGAUUGAAGUAAUAUUCUAAAUUACUGAGAUUGGGGAUUUGGGGUUUUCAUGAGCUUUAAGCCAUAAUCAUCG
rnacentral:lncRNA from 1 species